rfam:Schistosoma haematobium scaffold2111_4, whole genome shotgun sequence.
GCACUACUGAGGAGUCCCACAAUAGGACGAAAUGGCCGCCUAGUGC